rnacentral:rRNA from 1 species
ACGGUCCUAAGGUAGCGAAAUUCCUUGUCGGGUAAGUUCCGACCUGCACGAAUGGCAUAAUGAUGGCCAGGCUGUCUCCACCCGAGACUCAGUGAAAUUGAAAUCGCCGUGAAGAUGCGGUGUACCCGCGGCUAGACGGAAAGACCCCGUGAACCUUUACUAUAGCUUGACACUGAACAUUGAAUUUUGAUGUGUAGGAUAGGUGGGAGCCUUAGAAGCAGUCACGCCAGUGAUUGUGGAGGCGUCCUUGAAAUACCACCCUUUAACGUUUGAUGUUCUAACGAAGAUUACGAAACGUGGUCUCGGACAGUGUCUGGUGGGUAGUUUGACUGGGGCGGUCUCCUCCCAAAGAGUAACGGAGGAGCACGAAGGUUUGCUAAUGACGGUCGGACAUCGUCAGGUUAGUGCAAUGGUAUAAGCAAGCUUAACUGCGAGACAGACAAGUCGAGCAGGUACGAAAGUAGGUCAUAGUGAUCCGGUGGUUCUGAAUGGAAGGGCCAUCGCUCAACGGAUAAAAGGUACUCCGGGGAUAACAGGCUGAUACCGCCCAAGAGUUCAUAUCGACGGCGGUGUUUGGCACCUCGAUGUCGGCUCAUCACAUCCUGGGGCUGAAGUAGGUCCCAAGGGUAUGGCUGUUCGCCAUUUAAAGUGGUACGCGAGCUGGGUUUAGAACGUCGUGAGACAGUUCGGUCCCUAUCUGCCGUGGGCGUUGGAGAAUUGAUUGGGGCUGCUCCUAGUACGAGAGGACCGGAGUGGACGCACCACUGGUGUUCCGGUUGUGUCGCCAGACGCAUUGCCGGGUAGCUAAGUGCGGAAGAGAUAAGUGCUGAAAGCAUCUAAGCACGAAACUUGCCAAGAGAUGAGUUCUCCCAGAUUAUAAAUCUGUAAGGGUUGUUUAAGACUAAGACGUAGAUAGGCAUGGUGUGUAAGCGGUGCGAGCCGUUGAGCUAACAUGUACUAAUUGCCCGAGAGGCUUAACUAU